ensembl:lncRNA
UUCUCAGCUGCAUCCAGGGCUUAAAUGAGGCCGGAUUUCACAGGCUUUCAGAUGGGCUAGCUUUUGAGCAGAACUUGAUUUCUUUUUUGUUUUGGGUGGACUAGGAGUGCACAUUUAAUAAACCUGAGCAGGCAGGCUCCAACCAUUAUAAGGAAAGGAACCAAAGCAAACCAAAGCAGGAAACAUGUCAUUCUAGCAGCUGAGCAGAUUGAUUUCCAGAACAUCCGGAUCAUGUCACAGUUCUACCAACAGUGCCUCGGUUUGCCUGCCUGUUUUCCCACAUUCCCUCCAAAAUCGAUUCAGUGUGCUGGGUUAUUUCUUGUCCUUUGGUGGACUAACAUCUUUUCUGGAAAGACAAACAGAAAAACACUGGAAGGCAAAUCUGAGAAAA